rnacentral:ncRNA from 1 species
UGGGCAGUAUCGUUCGAGCUGCACCGAUGGUUAGACAAUAUAAUGUAAUCAAGAUCUGCCUUGAUCCACAAAAGGACUAGGACGGAGGG